rnacentral:rRNA from 1 species
UUAGUGGCAGACGGGUGAGUAACGCGUGGGAAUGUACCUUUUGGUUCGGAAUAACGACGGGAAACUGUCGCUAAUACCGGAUAAGCCCUCCGGGGGAAAGAUUUAUCGCCAAAAGAGCAGCCCGCGUUAGAUUAGGUAGUUGGUGGGGUAAUGGCCUACCAAGCCUACGAUCUAUAGCUGGUCUGAGAGGAUGAUCAGCCACACUGGGACUGAGACACGGCCCAG